AACAUAGUGGCACCGGUUAGCAUAGAGUGGUUUCAAAUCCUAUAAAGGGAAACACCAAACCAAAAGGGUUUUGGCUUUGUAAAGUAAAACAUCAAGAACCCUGUUUGCUAAUAUAAGAUUUGAAAACACACACACACACACACACACACACACACACACACACACACACACACACACAGAGAGAGAGAGAGAGAGAGAGAGAGAGAGAGAGAGAGAGAGAGAAGUAGUUUAGGCUAAAUUCUAAAACCUAUCUACUGGGGGCCUGAGAAUAUAUGGAUCAGGCAAGAUAAUUCUAAUAACUGCUUUCUGUUGAACUACUUCAGUUAAUGAGAAACCAGGAAGAUUGAUUGAAAAAUGAGUCUCUUAAAAUUUCCUCCUUGUUUUUUAUUUCCUUCUAGGCUUUGUCUCCUUGCAGACAGUCCCUAGGGAGCAAGAUCCAAAACUCCAGGUUAUUGCAAUAUUGCACUUCUAAAUAGAGAGAGCAUGGCUUUAACUAUGAAGUCUCAUUAUCACCUGGGGACUAGAUAAGGGCUGGCUGAUUUGUGCUCCCUGCUGUUAUUUCCAUGCCUUUUCAAAAGGAAGAGGCAAAGAAAUCAGUGGCUAGAGGAUGGGCAGCUACUUAAUUGGCUGUAGAUUUUAGCUCAACUCGACUACAAGCCAUUUUCACUCUCCUACACAGAUAGGUAAAGCCAGAAAACUCAAAAAGGUACUUCUAGAGCAAAAGAGAGGGGAAAAAAUUAAUGUGGAGAUCAAGGACAGUUGAUUUACUCUGCUCACUUUCGAAUGAAACUCUCUCUCAGGCAUGAGUGUAAGAAAGAAGAGACAAGUCAGAUAUGCCUGGAAACUUGUAACUCGUAACCAAAAAAAUGCUGUCAUUUGCACAACUGACACUAAGCAUCCCUGUGUAGUAGGGGGUCUUGGGUCAAAGUCACAUUAGCCUAAGACACUGGUUUAUGCAAAAUGGCCUUAGGGGCUUAGUUCAAAGUGCCCAGGCAGAAAGGAUUUAUCUUUUGCCUUUCCCCUUCUGCCUCAUUUCCAAUCCUGAUGGUUACUUCCCCUGUACCUGUGAUAUAGGAUCCCCAUACUUGGCAUUGAGUGCCUCUUGCCUUCCAUUCUGUGACCCCAUCAAUGACCUUGGACUUUCCAUUAGCUCAUGCUCCAUAAUUUUCUUCGCUGUUCAGUGUUACAAAAGUGCAUUGCUGUUAACUCGGGCUGGAGUCAGACUAGAAAGGAAGGAGGACUCUCGUGCUCAUAACUGGGAGGACUUAGUUUCUACGUUGGAGUAACAAUAUAUUUGUUAUUACUGUGCUCAAGGUUUGACCAAAGUGCAGGUCAUAGCCCUUUAUGACCUGGUUUUCCCAUUCAGCUUAAACGAAGACAGGGAUGCAGGUUGAUUGCCCACUUACUAUGUCUGGCUGCUAUUCUACACAUAAUCCCCAGAAGAAGGGCAAGAACAGGCAACUCAGGGGUGAGCAGAGGUCCCUGAACCUGAGUUUGCAACCUCUUUAGCUUGAAGGACUGCCAACCUUGGCAAGAAGGAAUGGAAAAGGGCACUGCUAUAUAUUAGAUGACUGCUGUGCACCAAGCCCUUUUAGGAUAUGUUCUUGCCUAUUAGUUUCACUUUAUUUCUAACCCUGAAAGGUAAAUUUCUAUUAUAGACACUUGGGGGAGAGAGAAGUUAUGACACAACAGAGUAAAAAUGACAGAGACAGAGAGACAGAGAGAAACCAAGGCUGCAGGGGAGUGUGGCCUGACUUCCAAGACAGCUAGUGGAUCUGUGAUUUAACAGCAACAUGAUACCAUCAAAAUCUACAAAAUAUACUAUCACAAGUACAACUCACCAACUAUAAAAUUCACAAAGGGGCUUAGGGGUGACUAGGUUGUUGUGGUAGUUAAUAAUGAUUACUAACUUGACAAGAUCUGGGGUCACCCCUGAGAUAAGCCUCCAGGCAUAUCUGUGAGAAAUCAUUUAGGGUAGCAUAUGAUCAUGCCUGUGAGUGAUGAUCUUGGUUAGGUUAAAUGGUGCAAGAAGACCCACCCUGAAGGACCAGAGGCAGCAGCAUCUCCUGUGCUGGGUCCUGCACUGAAAAAAAAAGUAGAAAGGAAGCAGAGAACCAGCAUUUCUCCUUCCUGCUUUCUUACUACAGAUGCAAUAUCACCAUAGCUUCAGGUUCCUGCCACCAUGACUUCCCUGCCAUGUACCCUACCUGUGCCCUCAAACUGUGAGCAAAACUAAACCCAUCCAUAAGUUGCAAUUGUCACAGCAUUACUACAGCAACAGGAAAAGUAGCUAAAACUGUGAUCAUCACAGAGAACUUCCCAAUAAAUAGAGGCUGGGAAUUUAUUCACCAUUGCCUUCGAUUGAAGCCAAUGAUCUAAAAUAUUGGGCCCAUAAGAGAAAUACAAGUCAAAACCAUAAUACGGUACUGCCUCACGCUCAGGAGCACAAUCAGAUAAUAAUGGAAAUUGGUGAAGCAGUGAAGAAAUCAGAAUCCUAACACACGGAUGGUGAGUAUAACACAGCGCAGCCAUUUUGGAAAACAGUCAGGCAGUUCUUCAAACAAUUAAACACAGUUAUCAUAUAUCCUAGCAGUUCCACUCCCAAGCAGAAAAGAAAUGAGAAUGUAAAUAUGCCCAUUCAGAAACAUGUGCUCAAAUGUGAACUGCAUCAUUGUAUACAAUUGUAAAAUGGAAGAAACAACCCAAAUGUCCAUCAACUGGUGAAUGGACAAACAAAAUGUGGUAUAUUUAUAUAGUGUAGCAUUAGUACACCAGAAAAAGGAAUGAAGCACUGAUCCACAAAAACAUUAUACUAAAUAAAAGGAGUCAAUCAUAGGUUCCACAUUUAGAGUUCCUUUAGUAUGAAAUGUUUAAUAUAGGAAUAUGUAUGAUGGUGAAAGUAUAUUAGAUGUUGCUUAGAGUUGGGGAGGAUGAAGAGACAGGCUAUAACAGACAAAGGAUAUAAGGAUUCUUUUUGAUAUGAAAAAAAUCUAAAACUGUUGUCUCCAUGCAACUGUGAAUAUACUAAAAAAAAUUAAACAUUAUGAGUGGAAGAAAAAAGAAGAAAAAGAAGUCAUUUUAGCUCAUGAUGCCAUCAAAAUCUAUGGCAGGCUUCAGAGCCACUAGGCCUAUGUUACCAUGGAAACUCUCAGAGUGAGUACUGCUUGUCAAAUGGGGAUAAUGAUGCCUGCCCUAGUUAUCUCACAGGAUUGUUAUAGGUCUCACAUGAGGUAAUAGAUGUGAGGACACACUGAAAAGCUAAAUGUAAUACAUAAAAACAAUUAGUGUUACUAGCAUGUUUCCUAUUGAAUGCAAAAUAGCAUGCACACUACAAAAAAAACAUGUAUAUAUUCGGAAAGUAAUAUGCCAGGACCACAAUAAUUGCUAUGUUAGGGGACAGAAUUGUAACCAUUGUAAGUUACUGAUAUAUCAUUUAGGAAUAAAAAACAAAACAAAAACCAGGUGGAUAAAAGAUGGCACCGCUCAGCUGAAGUCAGAAUAUAGAAAUCUGAUGAAUGGGAUAAAAUGUAUAUUUCAGAAAAAAUAAAUAAGAGAAAGGGCAUCUCUCUCCCAUACCUUAUUUUUCUCCCUACCUAGAUUAUUUCCUAAGCUACUAUUUCAGAGGUAGGUUAGAUGAUAAUACUAACGCUAUGAUCUCCUUUGAUCUUGCCAAAUAAGGGGCUGACUCUUCUGUCUGGAAGAGGACUCCAAGAAGGAGCUUCACUAAAAAUAAUGUCUUCCUGAUGCACAUCUACUCACAUCCUUGACCCCGCUCCAAAUGACCUUAAAUUAACAACGAGCCCAUGACUAAAGUGCAACAACAUGCCUUGUGACCCACAGAAAAAUUUGGGUAAGCUCAGAAAUUCAUUCUGUGAGAACCGAAUGAAGAAGCUUGCUGGUAUCGAGUAUGCUGUCCAUGGAGGAAUUCGACUGCAUAGCCCUUCCAUCCUCAGAUUCAGAAAAAUGUUGGACCUUGGACAUCAUGUAAUCCAACCCUGUAUUUUACUUUUGUGGAAACGGAGGCACGGUGAGGGGAACAGUGUCCCCAGUGUCUCUACUAUGAGUCUAUGAAAGAACUGAUGAUGCCCACCA